rnacentral:rRNA from 1 species
CACGGGGUUGCGAGCGUUGUCCGGAAUUACUAGGCGUAAAGGGCAGGCAGGCGGAUCCAUAAGUUUAUCGUUUAAGGCGUCGGCUUAACCGGCGUAGGGCGGUAGAUACUGUGGAUCUGGAAUGCGGUUGGGGAAGACAGAAUUCCUGGUGUAGCGGUGGAAUGCGCAGAGAUCAGGAGGAAUACCGAAGGCGAAGGCAGUCUUCCAAGCCGUUAUUGACGCUCAACUGCGAAGGUGUGGGUAUCAAACAGGAUUAGAUACCCGCGUAGUCCCUGA